UACGUAGGGACCGAGCGUUGUCCGGAAUCAUUGGGCGUAAAGAGCGUGUAGGCGGCUAUUUAAGUCCUGCGUGAAAUCCUGCGGCUCAACCGCAGACGGUCGUGGGAAACUGGAUGGCUAGAGUGCGGGAGAGGAGAGUGGAAUUCCCGGGUGUAGCGGUGAAAUGCGCAGAUAUCGGGAAGAACACCCGUGGCGAAGGCGGGCUCUCUGGAACGCAACUGACGCUGAGACGCGAAAGCGUGGGGAGCAAACAGGG
rnacentral:rRNA from 1 species